UUGGUUGACAUAUUUUAAACAACAGGUAAAUAACAGUUCAGAUGAAAUAACACAGUUUUACUUUAAAUUACAGGAGUGAACAUCAUUUUCAUUCAUUUAUUAGUAGUACCCUGAAGGCCUGGAGGCAUUACAGAGGGGGCAUUACAUUACAUUAUGUGUGUGUUACAGCUAUAUCUUUGAUAUUUUUGUGUGAAACAUGCACUGCAAAGUUACUACAGCUCCAUUUCCCCCGAGAUUCAAUUAGCUGCAUGUGUAUUUUACAAGCACACUUAGAUCAAAGAUAGUUUUCUACACAAGGGGAUGCGGUGUGUAGGGAAAGCAUGCACAGAUCAUGUGAGGUCUUUUGCAUGACUCUGCAAAGGUUGUGUAAAUGCAUUCCACAGCAAGUGUUAUUGUUGGACCUCUGGUGGGUUAUUCUUUAACUGCAGACGCUUGCAAAGGACGAUGCCACAGCAAUGAGUGAACCUUAAAGUGAAGCAGCUACAUCCACGGGAACAUAACAUCAUCAAGUUGAGCCAGUAAGUUGGUGCACAGCUGUAUGCAGCCAUAAUGCAUGUUUCCAGUUUGAUCAUACCUUUUUCAUGACUGUGGUAGAUGUCCCCCACCAUUCCUGAAGUGAAAUAUGCUUUUCUUAUAUUCAGGCAGGUCUCUCUCAAGCCACAAUGGAUAUGGACAUCUCUGAGGGCUUGUCUGAUUGAUGUGCUAGCAGAGGUCUCCCAGUCCAAGGCUCUCCAGGACGCUCAAGGGUGAAGCUUCUGCAGCACUGCCUACACACAACCCAGCGACACCUCGAACAGCAAGGCAUACUAUGCCAGCAGAAGAUGCACCUGAAAAGGCCUGAGGCAUGAAGUAUGGCGUUACACAAUUACAAACUGCGACCAAGAAGAAGAUGAAGACUCUACGGCAAUCCCAUCAACAGCUUUUUCAAAAGGUUGCUCAUCUCGAAAAUGUCAUAGAAGAUUUAUCUGACAAUCGCAUUCUAGGAAAUGAGGAUGUCGCCAUAUUGCAGAGUCUUGGUGGGGCAAAAAAAGACUUGCUCAUGCGUCAACUGCCACAUCAGUCUGGUGCCAGCAAUGUCACCCGCUUACUCGCCAGAGCUCAGGCCAUUUGCAGUGACUUUGCAUUUUUAUUCCCCUAGAGCAUACAGAUAUGUACGAGCUGUUUUCAACACAUGCUUCC